UACAGAGGUCCCAAGCGUUGUUCGGAUUCAUUGGGCGUAAAGGGUGCGUAGGCGGCGCGGUAAGUCGGGUGUGAAAUCUCGGGGCUUAACUCCGAAACUGCAUUCGAUACUGCCGUGCUUGAGGACUGGAGAGGAGACUGGAAUUUACGGUGUAGCGGUGAAAUGCGUAGAUAUCGUAAGGUAGACCAGUGGCGAAGGCGGGUCUCUGGACAGUUCCUGACGCUGAGGCACGAAGGCCAGGGGAGCAAACGGG
rnacentral:rRNA from 1 species